rnacentral:rRNA from 1 species
CCCCGCCAUAGCAAACUCCGAAUACCGAAGAGUGCAAUCACGGGAGACAGACAUCGGGUGCUAACGUCCGGUGUCAAGAGGGAAACAACCCAGACCGCCAGCUAAGGUCCCCAAAUAUGGCUAAGUGGGAAACGAAGUGGGAAGGCUAAAACAGUCAGGAGGUUGGCUUAGAAGCAGCCACCCUUUAAAGAAAGCGUAAUAGCUCACUGAUCGAGUCGUCCUGCGCGGAAGAUGUAACGGGGCUAAGCCAUAUACCGAAGCUGCGGAUGCGAGCUAGUCUCGCAUGGUAGGAGAGCGUUCCGUAAGCCUGCGAAGGUGCGUUGAAAAGCGUGCUGGAGGUAUCGGAAGUGCGAAUGCUGACAUGAGUAGCGAUAAAGGGGGUGAAAGGCCCCCUCGCCGUAAGCCCAAGGUUUCCUACGCAACGUUCAUCGGCGUAGGGUGAGUCGGCCCCUAAGGCGAGGCAGAAAUGCGUAGCUGAUGGGAAGCAGGUCAAUAUUCCUGCACCAUUGUUAGAUGCGAUGGGGGGACGGAUCGCGGAAGGUUGUCCGGGUGUUGGAAGUCCCGGUCGCUGCAUUGGAGA